UAGUAGCAAAUAUUCAAAUGAGA
rnacentral:siRNA from 1 species